rnacentral:tRNA from 1 species
GGGGAUUUAGCUCAGUGGUAGAGCACUUGCCUGGCAAGCACAAGGCCCUGAGUUCGGUCCCCA